rnacentral:rRNA from 1 species
CACGUAGGGGGCGAGCGUUGUCCGGAUUCAUUGGGCGUAAAGCGCGCGCAGGCGGUCGUUCAAGUCGAGUGUGAAAGCCCCCGGCUCAACUGGGGAGGGUCAUUCGAUACUGAUCGACUCGAAGGCAGGAGAGGGAAGUGGAAUUCCCGGUGUAGUGGUGAAAUGCGUAGAUAUCGGGAGGAACACCAGUGGCGAAGGCGACUUCCUGGCCUGUUCUUGACGCUGAGGCGCGAAAGCUAGAGGAGCAAACGGG